UACAGGGGGGGCAAGCGUUGUUCGGAAUUACUGGGCGUAAAGCGUGCGUAGGCGGUUUGUUAAGUCCGCUGUGAAAGCCCUGGGCUCAACCUGGGAAUUGCAGUGGAUACUGGCAGCUAGAGUGCGGUAGAGGAUGGUGGAAUUCCCGGUGUAGCGGUGAAAUGCGUAGAGAUCGGGAGGAACACCCGUGGCGAAGGCGGCCAUCUGGACCAGCACUGACGCUGAGGCACGAAGCGUGGGGAG
rnacentral:rRNA from 1 species